GAAUGAGGUCAGCUGAGAACUUUAUGACGUUUACCUCAAAGAUGAGGAGGAUGAGCUGAGCUUUGAUCCAAAUAAACACGUUCUUGUAGAAGACACCUGUGUGAUGUACCUGUUGGUGCUUCAGGAUCUUCAGAUUUGGCCAGAGGAGGGCGUCCUUGUCCCUACUAAUGCAGGAACUAAACCAGCUGAAGUUCAUCUGUGAGGGAUCUGCAAAGAAAAUUAUGGAGACUGUAAAGAGAAUUUAGUAUGAGUAGAUAAAACGUUUUACUUUGUGCUUACGGC
rnacentral:lncRNA from 1 species